rnacentral:rRNA from 1 species
GACGAACGCUGGCGGCGUGCUUAACACAUGCAAGUCGAACGGAAAGGCCCUGCUUUUGUGGGGUGCUCGAGUGGCGAACGGGUGAGUAACACGUGAGUAACCUGCCCUUGACUUUGGGAUAACUUCAGGAAACUGGGGCUAAUACCGGAUAGGAGCUCCUGCUGCAUGGUGGGGGUUGGAAAGUUUCGGCGGUUGGGGAUGGACUCGCGGCUUAUCAGCUUGUUGGUGGGGUAGUGGCUUACCAAGGCUUUGACGGGUAGCCGGCCUGAGAGGGUGACCGGCCACAUUGGGACUGAGAUACGGCCCAGACUCCUACGGGAGGCAGAAGUGGGGAAUAUUGCACAAUGGGCGGAAGCCUGAUGCAGCAACGCCGCGUGCGGGAUGACGGCCUUCGGGUUGUAUACCGCUUUCGCCUGUGACGAAGCGUGAGUGACGGUAAUGGGUAAAGAAGCACCGGCUAACUACGUG